GCUACGGGUGGCAGCAGUGAGGAAUAUUGGUCAAUGGGCUUACGCCUGAACCAGCCAAGUCGCGUGAGGGAAGACUGCCCUAUGGGUUGUAAACCUCUUUUGUCAGGGAGCAACGCCGGCUACGUGUGGCGGGAAGGAGAGUACCCGAAGAAAAAGCAUCGGCUAACUCCGUGCCAGCAGCCGCGGUAAUACGGAGGAUGCGAGCGUUAUCCGGAGUUAUUGGGUUUAAAGGGUGCGUAGGCGGAAGGUUAAGUCAGCGGUCAAAUGUCGGUGCUCAACACCGGCCUGCCGUUGAAACUGGUCUUCUUGAGUGAGCGAGAAGUAUGCGGAAUGCGUGGUGUAGCGGUGAAAUGCAUAGAUAUCACGCAGAACUCCGAUUGCGAAGGCAGCAUACCGGCGCUCAACUGACGCUGAGGCACGAAAGCGUGGGGAUCGAACAGGAUUAGAUACCCGGGUAGUC
rnacentral:rRNA from 1 species